UACGUAGGGGGCAAGCGUUGUCCGGAUUUAUUGGGCGUAAAGAGCGUGUAGGCGGCUUGGUAGGUCUGCUGUGAAAACUCGAGGCUCAACCUCGAGAUGUCGGCGGAAACCACUUGGCUAGAGUCCGGAAGAGGAGAGUGGAAUUCCUGGUGUAGCGGUGAAAUGCGCAGAUAUCAGGAAGAACACCUAUGGCGAAGGCAGCUCUCUGGGACGGUACUGACGCUGAGACGCGAAAGCGUGGGGAGCGAACAGG
rnacentral:rRNA from 1 species